GGAAACUGAUUUUGAGAAAGAGUUUAGUUGGAGCCCGUCCUCCAAGGCAACCACACGCACGGGAAACCGUUAUCGCGAGUUUUUUCAAGUUGGUGCAUUUUCUGGGUGGCAAACUGGGAGCAAAUCCGGCCAUAUUGAUUAGUGCUAGUCGCGGAGGAAAAAAUCAAAUAGUGCGCGGAUAAAUUUUCAGGUGUCAAGCGCGACACUCGCGCUGAACCCCGACGGAAGGACAGCACAUUGGCUAGAGCACGGUGAAUCGCCAUUUUGUAAAUCGGCAGCCAAAGCCACGCGGCAUCACAUCGGCGUGGGCCAGCUACUCCAGAAAACCGGGAAGAUACUCGUCCGAAGCGUUGAAGCCAGUGGUUCGCAAACUCCAAAGCUUGCACUACGCAACCAGACCAUCGCGAGACCCGAGUCAGACCACCUCUACGGACCAACACGUCUGUGGCGAAACAGAAAGCCUUCCUAGGAAGGCUUUCUUUUUCUACCGUUUCAGUAAUCCGCUGAAAUCGAGCGAAUACCAGAGGACGAGCGAGGGGUCUUAGCGUAGACUAAUGCGACGGAGCUGGCUGAAUUCAGCGUCGGCAAAGCGAGAUAGGUGUUAUCAUCGGGCGGAGCACAAACAGCCAAGACGAGCGAUUACCUUUCGCUGACCGGAUCGCGGGCAUUUGGAGGAGAGCCGCACCAGGCGAUUAAGCGGGCGUCCGGCUGCGUGGAUUGGUAGCAGCCUGGAAAGAUUUAGGUGGACCGCAUCAACCGCCGAGAGCAAGGAAGGCUUGCGGUGUUGCGGGACGAGAUGCGCCACGACAUAGGGCGGUCUCGAGCAAGGCGGCGGUUCAACCGGCAGUAUGGGUGCACCCAAGUAGAUUGCGCGCGCGUGAGUAAAUAAAAUGAAGAAUCAAAAAUAGAGUAAGAGAGAAAGGCAAGGAAGCAUAGGAAGAGGAGGCAGGAUGACAGGCAGGAGAAAUUAAGAAUAAAUGUAGUUUAUAAAACCUAUUUGCUUUGUGGACUUUAUCUUCAGUUUUGUGGCAUUCCCUGAGCUUUUCGGGACUGUUGAGGGCUUCCACUUCCCCCCUUAGCAGGAACCUUGCAACAAUCGUUCAAGAGACUUCAUUUUGAACUUAGCGAUUAGGGCUAUCAUGUUAUUGUAUACAUACCCAGGUUAAAAACAUCGUGACAGCACUGCAGUUCAAUAAGAAAACGAAAAAAAAAUCUACAGUUAUGUGCCGAUGCUUCGUUCUGGUCAUCUUAGAGCAGCUGUAUUAUUGUUUUAGUUGUCCAACUAAUAAAAGCAACAAAAAAAUAUAUUAUUCAGGGGUGUUGUAUGAAUCAUUUACAACACCCUUUUCCGAGGUUAAAUAGGAUGAUAUUUGUUUGAAUGCCUUAGCUGUUGCAUUGAAGUUUAUCGUGCCCUGAACUGCUCGAAAAUUCGAUGACUUUUCAGAGUCCCGUCAUAUUUCUUAAUUCUAUAUUGUGUUUCAACACUACUAUUAGAACAAAUAUAGCUUUUUCUAAUGCCAGAAGAAAAAAAAUAUUCCUUUUAAAUCAAACAAAAGAACAGCAAACGUCAACGUCUGGUAGACAAACCAAUAUUGUUAGCUUCAAGCUCAUUCAAUAAAUAAUAUCCAUAAUAAAUUUUCAAUAGGUGAUUUAAGAUUUGAUCCCGCUUUAAAGUACAAUGGAGAUGGAGGGCAAUAUGCCUAAACAAAGUGCUUCAUAGUAUAUGAAUCUUGUAUAGACGGUAAUUAUGAUUUCUAAUUUUAUCAUUGGCUGCAUUUGAAUAAUUGUCAAGGCCCUGGAAAGUGUUGGAUUUCCGUUGAUCUUAAAUAACUCAUUUGUAGCCUGAACUGAAAAAUAAAAAAAAUAUAUUCAGAGGCGAAGGGUGAUAAUUAUGCGAUUUAAUUCAAAUAUGUUUGGGAAGCUGUUUAUUUUGUUAUUAGACUAUUGUUAAGUCAUAAGAAUGACCACCGUCAGAAAAGUUGUUGCCAGUCAACCAAUAACUGCAUAAAAACCCUACACGCUAUGUUUGUAUAUAUUGGAUUUCUCACGAAUGUUUACAUUUUCGUAAGGAUUAUGAUUCCUUACUGGUCAUUAUUUCGCUGCAAUAUAUUUCCCCGAUAAGAUUGAGCGAGUAUCACAGUUAAAUUUAGAACGUAGAACUUACAAUGGUCCGAAAGGAGCCUUGUUAUAUUCGUGCUGCGAAAUCUUGUGCGAGAUUCAAGUGUGAUAGUAGUUCGGGACAAGUCUGAAUGGGCGCAAAUGCCACAAUAGUACAAAGUAAAAAUAUUCAGAGCAAAGCUUGAAAAAAAAUAAAGAAAUAGGUUUAAAUUCAUUUACGUAUUAGAAAUGUGCAUGUCAUUCAAAUAAAUCGGAAAAGGCAUAGAAUUCCGAUAAGAGGAAAUUACUGACUUCUGAGUAAGAAAAGGUGGAUAGUUGGAUAAUGCUUGAUUGUUAAAGUUUGCAAAAUAUUGACAUCUGAAAUAAAAUACUAACUGCGUAAUUUAUGUUAAAAUACUGGUUUCCAAUUGGAUAAGAGGCGGAGCCAAUAAUUAGUCUAUAUAAAUGAAUAUAACGACAUUCUAAAGUGGUAUUACAUUGGAUACAAAAUUACAAUCUUCAUUUCCAGAGAAAAGGGGAUGUGGUAGAUCCUCUAAUAUCCAUUUGCACUUCACCAACAUCGUGCGCACACGAGUGGCGCACGAUUAUCAAUGCGUGCUGAUUGAUGCAGUCAGUCUCUCCGCUGCCGUGCGCCAGCAUGGUUUAUCGUCUUCCGCAGUGCGCGUUAAUC